CCAGACUCCUACGGGAGGCAGCAGUGAGGAAUAUUGGUCAAUGGGCUUACGCCUGAACCAGCCAAGUCGCGUGAGGGAAGACUGCCCUAUGGGUUGUAAACCUCUUUUGUCAGGGAGCAACGCCGGCUACGUGUAGCCGGACUGAGAGUACCUGAAGAAAAAGCAUCGGCUAACUCCGUGCCAGCAGCCGCGGUAAUACGGAGGAUGCGAGCGUUAUCCGGAUUUAUUGGGUUUAAAGGGUGCGUAGGCGGACGCUUAAGUCAGCGGUAAAAUUGCGGGGCUCAACCUCGUCGAGCCGUUGAAACUGGGUGCCUUGAGUGGGCGAGAAGUACGCGGAAUGCGUGGUGUAGCGGUGAAAUGCAUAGAUAUCACGCAGAACUCCGAUUGCGAAGGCAGCGUACCGGCGCCCAACUGACGCUGAAGCACGAAGGCGUGGGUAUCGAACAGGAUUAGAUACCCCAGUA
rnacentral:rRNA from 1 species